rnacentral:rRNA from 1 species
UGGGGAAUAUUGGACAAUGGGCGAAAGCCUGAUCCAGCAAUGCCGCGUGAGUGAUGAAGGCCUUAGGGUUGUAAAGCUCUUUUACCCGGGAUGAUAAUGACAGUACCGGGAGAAUAAGCCCCGGCUAACUCCGUGCCAGCAGCCGCGGUAAUACGGAGGGGGCUAGCGUUGUUCGGAAUUACUGGGCGUAAAGCGCACGUAGGCGGCUUUGUAAGUUAGAGGUGAAAGCCCGGAGCUCAACUUCGGAAUUGCCUUUAAGACUGCAUCGCUUGAAUCAUGGAGAGGUCAGUGGAAUUCCGAGUGUAGAGGUGAAAUUCGUAGAUAUUCGGAAGAACACCAGUGGCGAAGGCGACUGACUGGACAUGUAUUGACGCUGAGGUGCGAAAGCGUGGGGAGCAAAACAGGAUUAGAUACCCUGGUAGUCCACGCCGUAAAACGAUGAUAACUAACUGUCAGGGCUCUUAGAGUUUUGGUGGCGCAGCUAACGCGUUAAGUUAUCCGCCUGGGGAGUACGGCCGCAAGGUUAAAAACUCAAAUGAAUUGACGGGGUCAUAGCUGUUUCCUG